rnacentral:lncRNA from 1 species
AUGCCUUGUGGAAGCAAUACUCGCUUGAAUAAAGAAGCAUUGUCCCUUUCUCAUAAGACAAUCCCUUGCUUGAGCGCAAGCAGGAAUGGCAAACACCGGAUCAAACCAACUCUAGAAGACGCCUUAACGCUGAGGCCACCCAUUAGGGAGCACACUAUGCUAGAAUCCACAACAUCAGAAUCUGGCAAAACAGGGAGGCCUUUUUGUACGGCUGAAGAGGUAAGCUUGAUGAGAAAGGUGUCUUUUGAAAUCGAGUAACUUAAUAGUUGCAACAGAACUGUAUCUUCGCUGAAGUGAAUUUUGUAACAUUCAGUGCAA